ACUCAGUUACGUUACCUUUCGAAUGGGCGAGGCUGAUUUCUGAUUUUCUCUUACAUAAGCAUACAUGGGCACAUUUAUGGUUAGAGAAAUUUUUUAAUUGCUUUGGUCCAUUUUCUGAGGGUACAACAGAGGAGACGCUCUUUGUAAUCUGCAAAUUACAAGUUGUUCUUACAUCAUUUUGUAGGUUGUAUGAGGUUGAAAUGUGUGAUAUCUUAUACCUAACCAGAAAGUAACAGGUUGUUGAGGAUGGAAGGUGGAGUGAGGAAGAUGCUGCUCUUUUAGUGCCUGAGAACUUAACUGGUAUUGAACAGGGAGAUGGCAAGUAGAAGAUGGUGUUUGACUGAGUCAGCAUUUUACCAGAGAUGGUGUUUACUGUGCUUCUGCUUGCAUGAAGGGAGAGAUCACCAAUUAGCCACAUUUGAAAGGAAAGGA